GUUCUCCCCCUCCUCCUUGGCCAUGCAUUUCCAUUUUUUCUGGUGGCCAUAGCAAGAUGAACUAGAAGAAAAUAAACAUCACCAUAAAGACAGAUGAACAUUACUAUGCUGAGAAGACAGUGUCAUGUGAAAGCCUGCCAGACAACCCAGACGGAGUGCCAUGAAGAGCUGUCUGAUUGCAAGACCUGAUGGCUGUGUAUUUAGAAGUUCACAACUUGAUGAUCAGAAUGAAACACAAAUUGAUUCUGGUCCUAGAAAAGGAAAAGAGGAAAACCCUAACAAGAAGCGUAAAAGCCAAGGCAAGUGCACAGAACACCAGUGGUAACAAGAGAUCAAAGGUCCUUUGUGAGCACUGCUGAGCAGCUACAUACCCCACAGUAAGUGACUGAAUUUCUGUACCUCAGUAUUGCCAGCUCUAUUACUUAUGUCUUUACUAAGCAUCAACAGGACAGCUGCAGCUAUGCCAUUCAUCAUUUCAGCAGCAAGACUGCUAUUAAUAGCUGUGCUUUGGCUGAAAAAACUUUAUCAAGGGUUUCUGAAUAUCCAAUAAUUUGAACAGUAACUCUUUUUAGGUGGGCAGCCACCUGAAAUUCUUAGAUAAAUGACCCCCGUUCAUACACAGGUGAGUGCUGUAACAAAUGCAUUGUUGACCACAUCACACGUGGGGUGCAUGGUGAGGGCAGUGCUCUUCUAGACUGCAGAGGCUGUCAGACAAAUGUUAUUUAUUGUAUUUUGAAUUUUGUCAGCCAUCAAAAUUCAAUAGAAGCAGUUCACAUUCCUAAACAGUUAUAAAGUUGUAGAGACUUUAAUUUUUGAUUCUUUAGAGACUUGAAAAUGCUGUUCAUUACCUCAAAUUAAAAUACAUUUGCAAGCCUGAAACAGCAGUCUUCAAAGCUAGUUUGUGACUUAGAAGUUCACAUCCCAGUUCUGAAUCAAACCCAGUAGACUCCUAAACAACAAAACCAACUAAUUCAAAAGAGCUAGUCCAUACUAUCAGUUUCAUACUGGGUAGUUAUAAGAAAGCUGCUCACAGCAGGAUAGUGGUACCCUCUUUCUGUUGAAACGCACUCUGGUUUCUAUAUGAAAGUGUUUUACAUGAAAGAGAACCACCCUUUCAAAAAACUCACUCAAAAUCCAGUCAGCUUGUACUGCUGUUAACUUCUUCAGUCCCCAACUCCAAAAUAGCUAUGAUUUAAAAAUGAAAUUAAUCUAUAAAUAUUGUUUCCUUUAUUAGUUAGUGAACAUAAAUUUGCAAUCUACAACUGGUAAUGUCUUAAUUAAUUUUAUGUAUGUCACUGGUCAUAUGUUUUAUCAGCUCCCCUAAUUAACAUUUAUCAUCAAAGCACUAAACAUACAAUAUGUCAAAAUUUUCUAAUUUAUCCUUUCACUAACUAUUUGUGAGAUUCUUGUGAUUACUGCAUUUCAGGUUUAAGAGCAUAGAUGACUUGUUUUCAUACUCUCUAUUACCAUGUAUCCUUUUUUCAUUUUUGAAUCCAUUUAUUUUUUUAAGGAUGCUCUAUGAGAAACCUGGAUUUCAGCCCAAUGUCUCAGUAAUAUGCAUAUGAGAAGGUGUGUACAUGACCAGGUCUGUAUUUACAUAGUGUUUUUUGAGUGCUUUAUAUAAAAUACAGAAAAUCACACUAAUACAAAGGCCAGACAUUCACUGAGUCCCAAAAUCUGGCACAUUUUGUGAUGUACCUUCCCUACCCUGGCAACAGUAGGAUCUCGGAUUCUUUAUGCAACCUGAAAACUCUCAUUCAUGACACUAAUCUACCAAAUGUAAGUGUCAGAUAGGAAUCUCUCUAUCUGGGCUUAGCUUAAGCUUAAGUUAGUUUAAGAUUACAAAGAAGAAACACUAUCAAAAUUUGAGCUGAAAUGCUAUUUCCUGUCUUGUUCUUCUGUGGGUUUUGUAUAGGAAAAACUGAAUCCAAAGAAAAACUAACUGUGCUAAAUACCAAUCACUGGGACAAGGACAUACUUAUUGUUGGUAUUAAUGACACAGUUACAUAUUACCUCAAAAUAAAUGAUGUACUAAAAAGAAAUAAAAGAAGAUAUUUACAGGAAUCUUUUUAGUAUAUAAACAGCAGUAGUACUUUAGAGGACACUAGGUGUCUGAAAACUUACUUGCAUAAGGAUUUAAGACUCAAACUUUGAAACACUACAAUUUCUCACAAACAUCCAAUCUAAACAAGAGAAAAUGCUUCUGGUGCACAGAAUUAUCUCUGUUUUCUGAUCUGCAGGUAUUAGUGGGCAUUACAUACUUGCCGCACUUAAGAAGGUGUGGAAGAAAUGAGAGGGAAGGUAUGGAGUCUGUGGAUCUGGCUUCAAGCAGAGUAACUAACUGCGUGCUAGCAAGCAGCCACUGAUUUUUAACAUCCCCCACAUCUGCGGUUUCAUUUUUCACUUGAGACUCUCUCAAUUUCUCUGGCGUUUCCAGCUGCUGCAUUAGUCUGUGCCAUUAUAAUGCCUGCAGGAUCUAAGAAAUAAUCUAUGACAAUGUUCUCUAGGCUGCUGUGUUUUGCUAACCCAAGGGGAAACACUGACAACACAGUACAGUGCUCUCAGGGUUGUUUUGCUCCGCAGGGGAAGGCUACAGUGAUUUUAAGGGUAGAAAUAUUUCUAGAAACUUUGUAAGCACUCUUCAAAGAGGUGGAGUGACUGUGAUCAUUGUUCUGACUUUUACCUUGGGAAGGAGGACUAAAAUGCUGUGCUGCUGCCUGCCUACAUUUUAGGAAUGUGUAUUAUUACCCUUAUUGUUCACCAGUGUGUGUAAUGGUGUUGAUCACUGACAGCAGCCAUACAAAUUGUGACAAACCUCCUGCCUUGGAAGAGCCAGAUGAAAUAAAGCACAAAUCCGAAGGAUUCACAAUAUGAAAUGUUGCAGAGGCAUACUCUGUUCUAGAGGGAACAGUUUUAGAAUGGGAGUAGUUUUAAAUUAAACACUCAGAAAAUAUAAUUUCUAUCCCACAUCCAGUAUUAGAUACAAACUAUUAAAUUCCACAUAAAUUUAGCUAUGCUUCUUUUCUAUAAGUUACUAUUUUUAUGAGUUAAAACUUGGAUCAAAUUAAUAUAAUGAAUUCACAUGGUAAAACUAGUACAGUUACACUAAGUUUAAACACUGCACUAUCUUCCCCUAUUUUGCCCAGUGUUUUUCAGAGCACUCAUCAAUGUUCACCCUAAACUCUGCUACUGUUUUAUAGUCAUUUUAGUACUCCACCACUAUAACCAACAAUAGAUGCCAAAAGAGGGACCAGAAGACACAACAGGACAUAAAUGUAGAAUUGGGAGAGUUUUAUUUCCUAAGGUAUCAGUCAAGGACUUCUUGAAAUAUGUGGUGCCAUUACAUGCAUUUUUCUACUAUGAAUUUAGCCAAUCAAUAAAUUAAUAAUUUUUUGAACCUAUGCAAACUUGCAGCACUCAAUGUUUUAUUGAAAACAGUUUUACAGUUUCUGAAUGUCAUGCUAUGUUUGCUUGCAUUUAACCUGCCAUCUGCUCAAUUUUCUACUUCUUGGUGAAUACAAGACCAUGAUUAAUUGCUCUCUUCCACCUCACUCAUGGUUGUAUGGACUUCAGUUGUAGCUGCUUAGUUGUUCCUCACACAGAAGUUGUUUCCUCCCUUGACCAUCCUUGUUGACUCUCUGUAAUUUUAUCAUCCACUUUGAAAAGGGAAACCAAAAAUGAACUAUGUUUAUGGUACAGGCAUAAUAAUAUUUAGACCUUAAGGCAAUGAUAUGUUUUGUUCCAAGCAUUUUUCUUAGCAAUUCCUGUCUUAUUUGCUUUUUGAUAUCUGCUGAUCCUGUGAUGUUUUUGCUUAUCUUUUGUCUCUCAUAUGUUAAGUACCUCAUGCCUAACAUUUCCUAACAAAGAGCUCAGCUUUGUAAAUGUAAAUAUUAGGAUCAUCCUUUCCUCUUCUACACAAGGCUAUUUACUGAUACUCAGCUUUAAAAAAACCAAAACAACAAAACAAACAACUAUUGCUUACAUAUGAGGAGGGCCUCUGCACCUUGUUAAAAUUUUACAUUUUUUUACAACUGAGUAACCUGGUGUAUCAAAACACUAGUCUCUAUCAACCAUCAAGAGCUAAGGAGCACAGAUCCCUCCUGGCUGUCACUCACAACCUCCCUCAUUGAAAACUGAUGUACAUUGACAGACUUGGAUGGGAAGGGGGCUCCAGAAGGUGUCUACUCCAACCUCCUGCUUACAGUAGAUGAUGCCAGACUUGAGUAGUCAGGGUCUUGACCAGUUAGGUUUAGAAUCCCUCCAACUGUGCAGAUUGUGUGGGUUUGUUUUACUUUUUUUACUUGGUUGGGUUUUUACUCCUCCAACAACCUCUCCAGGGCCCUAUUCCAGUCGAUGAUCUCCAUCAUGACCUAAAAAACCAAACAACCUCCCAAAAAACAUAAUAAAAGCCCCACAACAUCUAACUUAUUAAUGUAUCUUGUUGGAAUUUUCCAUAUUCCAACUUCUCACUGUUGCAUCUCAUUCUUCUAUCCUGUUUCUUGUAUUUUAAUCAUAUGGGGGCAUCCCACCUUAUGGCAGUGCGUAUAUACUUGUACUGCUCAAGAGACCAUCGCAUAGAGAACAGAAUUUGGCUUUCCUUUGCCAAAACUACAAGUAUGUCCUGCACGAAGAAAUAAGCCACUGCCUUUCCCCCAUGCCCCUACCACUGUAAGUAGUGGUAACUGCUCCUCCUACCUGUUACAAGCAUCUUUGGCUUGCCUGCACAAGUUCUGUGCAGACUGCAAAGCAACUGAUGCUGAGGGACAGAAAGCACAUGCAAGUCUGUAAAAGUAUGGCUGAGAUGUGAGAAUUCUAAAUUAAGUUUUAAGUAAAUGCUAUUUUACUACACCAACCAUAACUAUUACUUCAAACAAUAGAGGGCACGAGGAAAAUGUUACCUCAAAUUCUACAUUUAAUGUUGUAAUUGAUCAAUAAAGAAACAGUUUACAUUAUGUAAUUACUCAAAUGUGAGCUUCUAUAAAAACCUUUUAACAUCAUUGAGCAAAUUGUUCAACAAAUUUGUAUCAAAGGUAGGGGCACACUUACUCACAAAUAUGUGUGAAUGC